GCGACUUCCCUGGCCCUCCCCCUGCGGACCAGUGAACCUCGCCCGAGGGCUCAAUAAAGAAGAUUUUUGCCCUCUUUUUCUCACCUCUCAGCCUUAUUGAUCCAUGGUGCCCUUCCAUUGCCUUUCAUUGGUGCCGAAACCCGGGAGGGGACACCUCCUAAGCCCCCCCAGAGGCUCAGGGGGACUCCCCUCCUGGUCGGAUCAGUCCUCUCCCUCAGUCAGGUCAGGCUUCUCCUCCACGGCCAUCUGUCCAUUUCGUCCGGUUACUUGCUGCCAGGUCGCAGUUGCUGCAGCUACUCCAGUCCAAUUCGGCCGACGCUAGAGACAAAUGAAGACACUCGACCAUCUCUAAAUGCUACCAAACACAUAGAGUCUACUCUGAAUGCAGAUACUGCUCUCAUAAAAAUUCUGCAAAGGAGGAAGGGGUUGGUGCAGAACUGUUCCGAUGCUGAUCAACUGAGAUGCAAAACCCAUGUUCACAUCAUGAGUGAGUCUUCUAACUCGGACAAUGCAAUCAACAAAUUCUAAGACCAAAUUCCGGUGGCACUGGCUCCAAAGGCCCCAGGGAAAAUAAACUAAUCAAGACUACUUUAAUUUUUUAAAUAUGAAACCUGCGGAAAAUCAUGAAAAAUAGUAACACAAUUCCACCAUUUUCUACGAAAAAAUACUGAAAGGGUUAUUAACUUGAAUGUCCAAUAGACAGCUGAAUUAGAUAUGAAGUUGCAUAAAGAGAGUAGCCAAAUCAAAAUAUAUAAGUUUUAAAAGGCAAUAUCCAGGACUUCAAACAUGGAAAGAGUUACACGAGAGAAAAGAGGAUUUUGAGAGAUUGCUGCUUCAUUUGCAUGCUCAGCAAAACCUCACGGAGCACUGACGUUUUGAGUCAUCCCUCUAAUCAUCUAGCAUCCAACGCUCCUGAGUGUGGAAGGAGGUGAACAGGGAAAAGCAGAGAGGACAAAAGUCACAUCCCCUCCCCACAGACCCAUACUGGGGAAGGGUGGAAGAUUUAGCUGCGAGUCAAGUUCAGAAUUUUGAUUAACAUCUUGGCAUGCACAUUCGAAUUUCAGAAUCAAGACUGUUGGCCAUAAAAAAUGACUAUAGCCUUGUGUAUUACCUGAACUGAGCAGUAAAAAAAAAGUCAUGGUCCUUCUGGGGCUUUUAUUCUGAGACAGGAACCCUGAACAGGCAGGAGAAAGGGAAUGUUGACAGAGAAACAAAGACAGUUGGCGACACACGCUGACCGCCAUGCGGACGUCCAUCAAACCCAGCACUGGCCCUGGGUACGUGCGCCUUUGCUAUUACCCCAAUACAUUUUCUUCUGCAGAGCAAGCAACAGAACACAUGCAGACCUUAAUAAAUACCACUGGGUAAUGUGACAAUGGCCAAACUCUCCUCACGGGGGAGAGAGUGUCCCCCAGUUUUGCUCCCUUUUAAUUUCCAGGGUUCAUAAGUAGCUCUAAAGCUUUGCUCUACAAGGUUGAUACAUACGAUAUUAAUGUUUCCCCUAAGCAGUAUAACAUAAAUAUAUUUGCUAUCUUG
rnacentral:lncRNA from 1 species